rnacentral:rRNA from 1 species
AUUGAACGCUGGCGGCAGGCCUAACACAUGCAAGUCGAGCGGAGCGGCGGACGCGUGCGUAAUGCCUAGGAAUCUGCCUCGUAGUGGGGGAUAACGUCCGGAAACGGGCGCUAAUACCGCAUCCUAUCACAUGAGCCUAGGGCGGAUUAGCUAGUUGGUGGGGUAACUGCCUACCAGGGCGACGAUCCGUAACGGGUCUGAGAGGAGGAUCAGUCACACUGAAACGGGGACACGGUCCAGACUCCUACGGGAGGCAGCAGUGGGGAAUAGUGGACAAUGGGCGAAAGCCUGAUGCAGACAUGCCGCGUGUGUGAAGAAGGUCUGCGGAUUGUAAAGCACUUUAAGUUGGGAGGCGUUACCAACAGAAUAGGCACCGGCUAACUUCGUGCCAGCAGCCGCGGUAAUAC